rnacentral:rRNA from 1 species
CCAAUAGCGUAUAUUAAAGUUGUUGCAGUUAAAAAGCUCGUAGUUGAAUUUCGGGAUCAAAUUGUCGGUCGUGCCUCGGUACGUACUGGUAUUAUUGGUUCCUCCCUUCUGACGAACCACGAUGUCAUUAAUUUGGUGUCAUGGGAAAUCAGGACUGUUACUUUGAAAAAAUUAGAGUGUUUAAAGCAGGCUCGCGCUUGAAUACAUUAGCAUGGAAUAAUGAAAUAGGACGUUUGAUUCUAUUUUGUUGGUUUCUAGGAUCGACGUAAUGAUUAAUAGGGAUAGUUGGGGGCAUUAGUAGUCAAUUGUCAGAGGUGAAAUUCUUGGAUUUAUUGAAGACUAACUACUGCGAAAGCAUUUGCCAAGGAUGUUUUCAUUAAUCAAGAACGAAAGCUAGGAGAUCGAAGACGAUCAGAUACCGUCGUAGUCUUAACCAUAAACUAUGCCGACUAGGGAUCGGAUGAUGUUAAUUUUUUAAUGACUCAUUCGGCGCCUUACG